rnacentral:rRNA from 1 species
CUCACCUAGGCGACGAUCCCUAGCUGGUCUGAGAGGAUGACCAGCCACACUGGAACUGAGACACGGUCCAGACUCCUACGGGAGGCAGCAGUGGGGAAUAUUGCACAAUGGGCGCAAGCCUGAUGCAGCCAUGCCGCGUGUGUGAAGAAGGCCUUAGGGUUGUAAAGCACUUUCAGCGAGGAGGAAGGGUUCAGUGUUAAUAGCACUGUACAUUGACGUUACUCGCAGAAGAAGCACCGGCUAACUCCGUGCCAGCAGCCGCGGUAAUACGGAGGGUGCAAGCGUUAAUCGGAAUUACUGGGCGUAAAGCGCACGCAGGCGGUUUGUUAAGUCAGAUGUGAAAUCCCCGAGCUUAACUUGGGAACUGCAUUUGAAACUGGCAAGCUAGAGUCUUGUAGAGGGGGGUAGAAUUCCAGGUGUAGCGGUGAAAUGCGUAGAGAUCUGGAGGAAUACCGGUGGCGAAGGCGGCCCCCUGGACAAAGACUGACGCUCAGGUGCGAAAGCGUGGGGAGCAAACAGGAUUAGA